ensembl:lncRNA
ACCAGUUGAUUACAUACAUCAUUAUAAGAAAAAAAAUGUAUUACAAGUUUUUGAAUUUUGCAUAUUUAAUUAUGCUAAUCAGGCGGAAUCUUAUUAAAUAUGCACGUUUUUGCAUAUAUUUCCGGUGCAUGAAUCUUAAACUGUGAUAAAGCCAGGACCAAAAUUCUUUUUUUAUUUUGUUUAUUUAUCAAAUGACAAAAAAUCCUCACAUGGAUUUUAAGAUAUCUGCUUUUAUGACCUGGGAAAUCAAAAUAUACCUGACCAUGGCCUUAAAAACCCUAUUUUCGCCAUGAUUUCCAGGUAAAAUUACCCAUAAAUCUGGCCAGGAGCAAUUUAUAAAUAAAUCCAUAUGUAGAUGUCUUCAUAACAAUGCUAUGUGUGAAACUGGGAAGUGUGGUAUACCUAGGUUCUACAUAGGCUGAGAAAUGUGCACCUAAAAAUGGAAAAACACUCAUUUUGAGAAAACGGACUUGAAAGAUUCUUAUGGCAAAGGCCAACCAAGCUUGAGAGCAUACCACGUGAUACAUUCGAACCAAUCGUCCGGUCGGAAAUCGAGCCAGCCAAUCAGAUAUCAGUUUUAUAUUGUGCAGCAGAUCGAGUGCUUUCCAAUGAUACCACGGAACACAUAUGACAGAGACCGGCUGUAAUUUGAAACGGUGCGUAAUAAAGCAAACGUUUGGUGAAUUUUCUGUAAAAUUCAGAGGCGCAAGUUGACAAACUAUAAUAAAACAAACACCUAAAGUUUUGACAUUUUUCUUUCUUUUGUGCGAAACAUUACAUGUUAAUGGUGCAAAAUAGCCCAAAAUAUCAAAAUUGACCAGUGACUGAAAAAUCGAUGAUUUUGCCUGCCGUGUCUCGCCUUAAAACGAAUGAAAUUGCUUCCAGCAACAAAAAUAGAUCCCCAUUCCCCACUGAGUGGACUGUUGCCAAGCAACAUAUAAACAAAACACCAUACAUAAAUGCGGAGUGAUUUUGUCAGUUUGGUGAACAGUCAGAGUGAUGUUGGACGCUCAUAUCUCAACGGUAUUCAAUGGAUAUUGUCACAAGUUUAAUUACAAUUUGUUUUGUGAGCAAGUAUUUUAUUCUUUUUAUCAUAUUUAUAAAAAAAUAUAUAUUUUUUAUUUUAUUUAUUUUUUUCAAUUGAGGGUGCAAACAGUUUUUUUGGGGGUGCAAUGCAUGCUUAUGCACCCUCGUAGAACCGGGUCUGAAUACAUGACAUGUUGUAUGUUAUAUCUAUGUUAUUAUAUACAUCUCAACUGAAUUUGCAUUCUUCAUGAGGCCCAAAAUGAUAGACGUACAGUAUAUUGCUGUGUUUGUUCUGUGAACCUAUCUGUGCAAACUGCAGCCAAGAUCAGGAAAACGAAAACCAGCGCAAAUGUCUUCAUGUUGUUCACCUUUGCUUCCCGAGGCUGUAGUACUCUAAGACACUGUCUGCAGGUCGAAGUGGUUAAAUACCCCCACGUCACUGACACCCAUAACACCGAGAUAAAAAAAAAAAAAAAGAAUUACAUAGUUAGAAAAAGAAUACCGAGGGAUUAUGGCCAUGUUAAUUUUAAUAUUAAUUUCAUUCAAUGUAUCGUGUGUUCUUAUGAAAAUUUGGUGCAUAAUUCAAUAUCAUAAUUCCUGCGACGCAUUCGACAAGUAAAUCAAGAAUGUUUAUCCAGGGUGUAAUUUAUAUUUUCACCACCAGGUGGAAAUGACCUUUCAAUUCUGUACUUUUUUUUUGACAGCUCAAUUCAAUUAAAGUUAUUACAAAUAAAAUCCACACCAGAUUACGAGCACACAUGCAAGGACGCAUAUGAACACACACCAAACUACACCAAAAUAGGCCUACCUUCACUUGACCAAUUCAGAAACCAGAAACGUGUAAUAUUUUGUUGAAUACGAUAUGUCUCUAUAUCAUUGGUGGCUAAGGUAUAGGCCUAUAUCAGAUCAAUGCAUCGAAAAACAAAUAUCAUUGCGACAAUUAAUUUAUAACGGACGGACAGCUCUCAAUGUUUACUGCGUUUCAAACAGGGAGAAUGACACCAAAAUAAAAAAAAACAUUUCCUUAGGCUAUAAUCUUCCAUUUGGUCAGUGGUUGAUGGUCUAUAGGCCUGUUUAGAUCGAAUUUAUUGAAAUUGAAAGAAAAGUAGCCUAGGCCUUUAAGUAUUAUUGGUGCAGAAGCAAUCCUAAUACUAAUACUAGUAGUAUAAGUACUACAAAAAUAAUGAUAAUAAUUAUAAGAUGUAAUAAGAUAUAGAUAAUGUAAUGAUAAUAUUAUUAUAAUACAUUUUGAUUAAUGAAUCACUUUGGGUCAGAAGAUCAAUGAAAGUUAGAAGAAAUGUACAUUUACCCCUGAACAAUAAUUAAUAAUUAUAUCACUAGGUUCAUGUUCCCACCAUGAAAUAAAUAAUGUAUCUAAUUGAUGUAUCAUUUGUUUUGUCUUUCUUUAUUAUUAGCUGGAUCCAACCUUGCACCAUAAUCAACAUAAAAAUCUAAUAAUUAUUUCCAUUGAAAUGUGAAAGAGUUCCGUCAGCAGAAUCUGACAAACACAAAUAAAAGAAGCAGACAAUAUUGACGUUUUAAAGUACACAGAAUAAAAAAUCCUUAGAUGUGUUGAAAUUCCAGAUGUUCCUCUGAUGAUGCAACCGUCGACCUUUGAUCUCUGUGAUCCUUACCCUCAUUGGCUCGUCAGGAACGGCCAAAUAAACACCAACGUGUUUGCUUAUGAAUAUCCUUGUUAGGUAUAUUCACCAGAUCUCCUAGCAAGCAAAGUAUAUUCGGAAUAUUUGACUCAUUCAUAUUGCAUGUAUUUUACAAACAUUCAGAAUCCUCCUAAUUAUUAGCCAGAGUAGGUUAAAGAUAGUCUUUAUUUCAAUGUUUGUAACUGGGCUUUGAGUAAAGAAUUGGUUAUUUCAAAAUCCAGCUGCAAUUUACCAGUACUUUUUUGUGUUGGUGUCUCUUGCACGAUGAUAAACUAUGGUCAAUAAGGGUCUAGCCUAUGCAUUUAAUGUUUAGAUGAUAUCACUCUACAGAAAUCACUUGAUAUAGGCCGGCAGGGAAACAGCCCAACAUAGAAGCACGCGCUCGUCUUUGAUUCCUCAUCGUUGUCUUUGUUGUCGAAACUCUCCACAUGCCCAAACUUAUAAUGGACAUUAUCAAACUUCUUCACGAAAAAGUUUAGUUUUCUUUGCAUGAAAGAUUAUUAUUUAAAUCCACAAAGAACAUUUAUGUUUAACCCGGGGCAUAUAAACACUGGGGCACAAAAUUAAUUACUUUCUCUCGAUUGAAACCCAUUCAUAUUUUUCGAUCUCAUAGGUCCAAUGGGCUCUACCGGAAGGGGCAUGACUUCGCCAUAGGAGGAAAGAGUUUUUUUGGGGGGCUACAGGAAACAGAAGUGUCCGAUCAUGCACAGCCCUGUUUUUUUGGAAUUAUUAACCAGAGAACAAAUGUUGACACAAAACGACCACACAACCCAAACAUGCAUCAGCAUUCUGUAUCAAAUGUAAAACUGAUUGGCCUAAUCGUUAUGUCCCCCAAAUAUAAGAUUUAACAUUUUCUUAAUGCUAAAUAGUUUGUUUGUACAUUGGGUAAUACAUGAAAUGUAAUAUAUUAUAUGUAUACAUACUAUUAUAUAAAUCUCAACUGAAUUUUCAUUCUACCUGAGGCCCAAAAUGAUAGACGUAGGCCUACAGUAUUGCUGUAAUUGUUCUACGAACCUACCUGUGUAAAAUGCAGCUAAGAUCAGGAAAACGAAAACAAGCACGAAUGUCUUCAUGUUGUUCACCUUUGCUUCCCGAGGCUUUAGUACUGUAAGACACUGUGUGCAGGUCGACGAGGCUCUACUACUGUAAGACACUGUCUGCAGGUCGAGGUGGUUAAAUACCCCCCACGUCACUGACACCCAGAAAAAACAGAUUUAAAUAAAAAAUAAUUACAUGCUAAUAGUGGCAACUGGUCAGUAGGGGCAAGUGGGGCUCCCCCACGCCCCCACCUACUCUCACAAGAAAAAGAAGAAAAUGAAAAAAGAAAAAAAAUAUAUAAAAUGAAUUAUAUAUAUGUAUAUAUAAAAAAUCUCCCCAGAAAGUACUGUCAAAUAAUAAAUUCGGCGCUUUUAGUUCAUUUUUAGUCGACCCUAGCUUGCUUCUUCAGACGGAUUUCGUCUGGAGGGGCAAGAGUGGCUCGAGCGAGCCCCAUCAGCCCAAUGUAAUGUGUAUUGGACUUGAAAAAUUGAAAUGCGCAUGCUCAGAGUGUUCCUCUGUUGAAAUCGACGCAGGUUAUUAC